rnacentral:rRNA from 1 species
AUUGAACGCUGGCGGCAGGCCUAACACAUGCAAGUCGAGCGGAUGAAGGGAGCUUGCUCCUGGAUUCAGCGGCGGACGGGUGAGUAAUGCCUAGGAAUCUGCCUGGUAGUGGGGGAUAACGUCCGGAAACGGGCGCUAAUACCGCAUACGUCCUGAGGGAGAAAGUGGGGGAUCUUCGGACCUCACGCUAUCAGAUGAGCCUAGGUCGGAUUAGCUAGUUGGUGGGGUAAAGGCCUACCAAGGCGACGAUCCGUAACUGGUCUGAGAGGAUGAUCAGUCACACUGGAACUGAGACACGGUCCAGACUCCUACGGGAGGCAGCAGUGGGGAAUAUUGGACAAUGGGCGAAAGCCUGAUCCAGCCAUGCCGCGUGUGUGAAGAAGGUCUUCGGAUUGUAAAGCGCUUUAAGUUGGGAGGAAAGGCAGUAAGUUAAUACCUUGCUGUUUUGACGUUACCAACAGAAUAAGCACCGGCUAACUUCGUG